AAGAUUUGUUAGUUAAGUAUAUGUAUGUCUUUGCUAACAAUAAAGAGAUAACUGUUCAAGCAUUGCUGCCUUGACAACCUCCUAUUGUUGACUGAGAUAGGAAGAUUGGCAGUUCCCAGAAUAUGACUGAUUGUGUAGUUGAAGGUGGCACAUGUAUUGAAGUGGACUGUGGUGGUACACUUGGGUUAGAAAACUGUUGUUGAGCUACUAAUGGUAUUUGUUGUUGAGACUGAUUGCAUGAUUGUAAUAGGUAAGGGCAGGUAAUGUGAGAGCCAUGAGAUUUUCGGUGGCCAUGUUGCUCUCAGUGUGAACAGGGGUUUCUGCAUGAAUUUGUGACAGAAGCAGGCCUUUCUGUGGUACAUCCCCUUUCUUGACUUGUUUUGUUUGGAUUACUUGGUUGUGGUAUAAUUAGUUGUUCAAAAUUUCUCAUCAUCAUAUUUUCCCAGUCAUAGGACUUGUAAAAGUCUGAAGUCUAAGAAGUACAUGUAUGUACUUCUGGCUAGCUUUUGGGCUAUUCAUAACUAUUGUUGCUGUCUGCUAUGUUACUACUUGUAUCAUGCUCUAUAAGACCUGGAAGGAGUCACUUAACUCAUUUACUCUUGUUAGAAAAGGAUCCUUGCAAACAGGACAUGACUUUUUGUUUCUUUCAAGGUAGUUAAGGUGACAAGUGUGGAACCAUGCAAGCUGUAUCAUCACUGAAGUAUUUUAAUUGUUGGAGCUCAGGAAGUCACAUAAAACAUUGGGCUUUGCAUUCAGCCUAAUCCUUUCUGCUGGGUUAUGGCAUUGCAUGGAACUUCUUUCAGGUUAUUGUACCUCAGUUCCUUUAAUUGCUGUUGAACCUUGUUUGGUGCUAUGGAAUGGAAUGGAAUACAGUGGGCAAUGAAGCAAGGUAAGUUUGGUGGUACUUUGCAAACAGGGCAGUCAUUUCAGCCAC